rnacentral:lncRNA from 1 species
CAUUUGUGGUGUCAAUAUCCUCCAGCAGGCUCUCGUGGCAAGCUUCUUUGAGGUCUGAAAUCUCGUACUUAUGAGCUGCGUGAAGAAGGGACAGCCUGUGGGGCAAGAAUUCUUCCUUGUUUAUAUUUCCAUACAUGUAGUUCAGUAAAGCUCUACAGGCUUCAAUUGACAUCUCCGAAAUGUUUAUGACAGCUGUUUCCUUCCCGUUGAGUUUGUGCAAGAACAUGCUGCGGAUAACAGGAGACCUGGAAGCAAGAAUGGCCCGAUGCGCUGAGAUGCUACCAUCAGAUGCAUUGAUCAUUAUAUCAGUUUGGAUGCCUUCAGACAGCAUUCGACCAAGUAAUGCAAGAGCCUUAUGAUUAGACUGUCUACAAGCGAGCCCUCUACUCCAAAUCGAGCAAGCCUCUCCCCCCUGUGCAUUACAAGUAAGUUUUCCAAUUCAUUUAGUUACAAUAAUGAAAACUGGCUGUGCUAAAAGUUACUGUAGCACGUAUUUAUUGCAAGAUAAGCUAAGAAAAAUGAAUAAUAAAUUACAUCUGGAGGUGCAGUUUUGAUAUCAAGAAACUCAAUGUCGAUGAUGAACUUUCCGGUCAAAGGAACCUCGAUUGUCCAUACAAAAUCCUCACUGCUUUUGAGCUGCUUAUCAAUAAUUUCUGCAUGUAAUUAUAGGUUGUAAGUCUCAAAAUCAAAAUUUCAUCUUCCACUAGGAAAACACUAAUUCCAUUAGGGUGCGCUUGCAAAUUUAUCACAAAAUAAGAAUGGGUAAGAAAAUAAGAGAAAUUUUGAUUACACCACUUUUCUUAUCUCAUGAUCUCUAGAGUGGAAAACAUGGGAAACUAUUUUCACACCAAUACAUCAUCAUCAUGAAUUGGAGCAAAAAAGAGGGAAAAGGGACUGCCCGUUCUUCUUUCCCAUGCUGCCCGGGAAAAUUAUACACAUAUAGAAGAUGUGAAAAGAGUUGAAAAUUGGUGAAAAAUAUGUGUUAUCCGUCAAAGAGUGAUUUUAGAUGAUUUACCUGGAUGAAUAAAACACUUACGAUCCCCUGCUGCGAGGCAGAUGAGUUUGAUCAUAAAAGAUGCUAUUGGAGGAGUUUCUUUAGUUAAACUUGAUACCUCCGGAUACAAUCUAAUGAUCAGCGUCCGACUCUUCUCCACAGAUAAAUGCCUUCAAUUCAAAUUAAUACCAUAAUUAGAAUGAUGAAAUUCUUAUAUUUUGUCAUGUUCAGCUUCUGUUUGAAAUUAUGGUGAUGAAUUCAUAAGUGACAAACAAAAAGUGAAAAAGUAAGGGUGGAGAAUAAACUGACCAAUUCCAGUAGCCGAUCUUGAAAGGAUCGGAUUUCCUGUAGGUGGAGGCCAAAUCGUCGAUCCGCCAUUGAGCGAGACGCGAUGUCGUCUCGACCUGAUAAGCAGCGGCGCCGAUCAUCCUGGAGAAGACAGCGCCGCCGUGAUAUCAUGGAUGCAGUCCAAAAUACCUUCCAAGAAGUGAUCGCCGAGCUUUCCCAGCUUUGCUUGUCUCUGCUUUCCUCAUAUAUUUACUCACUUCUCACUCACACCUCUCUCUCUCUCUACACUAUUUUGUUCUUUAUCAGGGUGAAGAGAAUGGAUAUCUCACAGAGACUACGAGGUAGCCGGCAAGCCAGGUUAUUGUUGAUCGUAACUAUAUUACUUCAUUGAUAUUCAAGUAUUUNCGUUCUGUUCUCUCUUUGUAUUUGUUAGUAGAGAGAGAGAGAGAGAGAGUGGUGUUUGCUUAGUUGAUUUGUUUGCUUAUACUUCACUUGAGGUUGGUUGAUGGCUGAUUUAUUUAUGUUGGGGAAACUCCUGUUCCCUAAUUCGAGUGACAAAUGUUAUCCUUUUUUAAGGCUCAACCUCAACGUAUACUUAAUUAAUUACUUUUACGUUUUAGUAUUUUCACCUCUCAUACUUCUGUUACAUUUUAUUCUUUCUUUCUAAUACUUUUUUAAUUCAUAGUAUUUAAGAUUUUUUCCGAAGUUUAUGUGGGUGAAAAGUAACAAGCCAGCAUAUCCAAUCCACGUCAAAGCUCAAAUCAAAAUGAAUUUUAAUAUAUUUUCUCUCCUCCGACAUAUAUGUUGCUUUCUUCCGACAUCAAAUUUGAAAAUUUUCAUGUACUCAUUUUCUUCAAAAAAUUAUUUUCUAUUGAUUAUAUAUUUUAAUUUACUUUUGUAUUUAAAAUAUUAUAUAUACUUAUUUUCUUCGGACCUUUGGCGAUGCAUAGACUCUGGCAUUUUCCAUUGAUGCGUAUGCGUAUGCUUUCCGAGAACGAAUUUAUGUUUUUGAAUUUUGAUCCUUUCACGCAAAGAAUUUUGUUUAUUUCCUUUCCUUAUUGGCGCCUUCUUUUUGACCAUUUUCCACGUUUUCAAAGCCAAAAAAAAACUUUAUUUUUCCUUUUAUCAUCCUCUCCACAUUAAUCUGAAGGAUUCUGGCCAAUUGGCCAUUAGAUUAGUGUUCUUUUAUAAAUCGAAGUGUUAUUAUGUUAAAGAUGCUUAAUCUUGUAGUAUAUAUAUAUUUUUUAAAAGAUAGCACUUAUUAAUUUAUUUUUUAUGAACUAACAGUAUUAAAUAAAAAAAUUUAAUCAUUUCUCAUUCAUUCUUUUUACUCUAAGGAGGAAUACUAUUAUCACACCAAGAAUUUAGGGAAUAAUGAAUGAGAAAUGAUGAAAUUCACUUUUUAUAGGAAAUGAGGGGGAAAAAAUGAGGCAUUUAAAUAAAGAAUUUUUUAUUAUCUCUCAUUUUAUCAAUGAUAAAUUUAUCAAUAAAAGGGAACACACUCUAAAGUUAAGCUAAACAACCCCAAUUUGCUUUUAACUUUUAUAAACUUGGUAGUUAGUACAAAUUCUCUUAAUUAUAAUCAAUUUUUUUUACAUAAUCUUUUUUUUAGAGGAAUGGUGGAGUUUGAAUCCUAUACCUCACUGUAUAUAGUUAGGAGUUCUUAUCAUUUGGAUGUACACUUGGGAACUCUUAACUAUAAUCUUGAUCAUUUUCUACCCUAAUUCUCCCCUUCCAACAAUUUCGAUUUAAUUUCAUUUGAUGGAAUUGUUUUUCAGUCGUCUGUCGGAAAACUACCUAUAUAUAUUUGUAUAAUUUAGUGUACGUGUACAUCUCUCCUAAUAAUUGAAAUAGGAUUAAGGCAUGAUUAAGCUAUUUUUCGUGAAUAUUGUUCCUAUGUGGCUGUCCUUACUUGAUGUUGCACGCGAGAUUGACAAAUAUUUGAGAUAUUUAAUGGGUUCUGUGCAAUGGCGAAUUAUAAUUUGUCGUGUUCAAAUAUCAUACAUACAUACCUUUUCAAUUUCUCUCUCGAGAUAUUUAUAUAAAUAUUAGUACAUCAAAUAUAUUAAAAUUUAUCACAGUAUAAAUAUCCAAGUUAUAAUCGAAAAUACUCAAUGGAAGUUUCCUCAUUGACUUCUCGAUAUUCUUUUGAAUUGUGUAAUUUGUAAAGUAAACACUUCAACUUUUCGGGUGAAGGGGUAAUUAUUUGAAAAUAUUUAUUACAAUUACUUAUAAUAAAAGGUAAUUUUUGAGAUAGUCAUUAAAAAUAGUUCAAAUUAAUAGUUGCUCAUCAAUAUUAUUUUCAAUAAAAUUUAAUUAAUUUUCAAUUUUUCCCACUGAACCCAUUUCAAAUUGAAAUCUCUAUUUUAAAACUCAUUUCUUUCCCCCUCUCUCUCGGUUCUCUUUUUUUUCUUCUCAUCAGCCGUCGCUACCGUCCUUUGAAAAUAGCGACGUCGCCACCAUCACCUACGUUAAGCCAUCCUCUUCUCCGAUUCAUCGCCACUAAUGCCCAACACUUUUAUGUAAUCGGCGAAAACACCACCUGUCUCUCUAGCUAGAAUCCGACGACGAACUCCGCUGUCUGCAGUCAUCUUUAUUAUAUACUCCCUCCGUCCCACUUGGUUCGUCCCACUAUAAGUGGCCUUUUUUCAUAAAUGAAAAAAUUUAAUCUUUAAAAAAGUGUAGGCCCUAUCACUUUUAAUCAAUUUACACAUUCUCUUUAAUUCCCGUGUCGAAAAGUUCUGAGCCAUAUAAGUGGAACAGAGAGAGUAUAUUGUAAGUUGUAAUUAAUUUUGUAGAUCUAGUUCGACAUCUAUAAAAAAUGAAAAAAAUAAAGUUUCAAUUCAUAUAGUAUUUAGUUAGAUUUGACUAAAAUUUUGUGAGAUUUUAUGUUAUUUUAUUAAUUUGAUUUGAAUUUUAUUUAUGAGUUUAAUAGAAAAGAAUAAGCAUGUGGACAAACGUCUUGCCGGAAGGGUGACAAACACUCAUCUGUCAACAGGCUGCAGUCCCACUUUCUUAAGCAACUAAAGAAAAAGUAGAAUUAAUGAUUAAUUAGCUUUGGUAUAUACUGUAGUCAAUAAUCAAUAUGAACUCUAAGCAUUACGAUUAGGAACAUAACUGGAUUAUAGUACAAACCAAGUUACAUGGAACGUGGAACGGGCCGGGGAUGAAAUAAGUGUCAAGUUAAGUGGGACACGAUAAAACAAAAUAUAAAUCAAGUCAAAUGCUGACGGGGGAAUGUUAGUAUAUUUUAAGGGAAUGUUUACUUUAAAUGAUUAACAUUGAUAGAUAAAAAUAGUAAGACUAAUUUCUUAUUUAUUUUAAUGGAUUAAAACAUUGAGAUAUCCCAAUAUCCUUGAUUAUUUUUAUCAUUUAAGCUAAUUCUGCUUGAUUCUUAUCCCAUUGAAAGGGUGAAAUUGAAGAAAUCCUACAUUUAAAGAUAUAAUUAGUCAAUCAUGCAUCUUAUUAAUCUACAGAGACAAAAUAAACGCCCCCUAACUGAAUAUAAUCAAUCCUACUAAUUAAGAAUUGACCAAUCAUAAAACAAAGAAGUUAAAAUCAAAGCAAACAAAGCAAAUUAAAAUUAAAAGUGGGACACAUAAACACCAAAAAGUGGCGGGAUAAAAAUUUUAAAGUACUGUUAUAACAUAUUUCAUCUGUCCACGAAAAAACUUCAUUUUUUUGGGACGUCUACAAAAGAACUUCAUAUCUAUUUUUGAACUGUAUCCCACCACUUAUAAAUAUCUCAUUUACCCUUAUUUUUCAUAUUUUUACCACUCUCAAUACUAUUUAAAAUAUUUUUUCAUCAUUUUCAAUACUUUCAAUACACUAAACAACAUUUUUUCUUAAAAUUCGUGUCGCUUUCUUUUCGGAAGUUCUUUCGUGGACGGAGGGAGUAUAUGGAAGAGUGUGAUUUUGCAGGCAGGAUUGCAACAGUUUAAGCUUAAUACGUAAAAGACCGUCUGCGGUUUAUAAUAUAGCUCGAACAUUUACUAAUAGUGACCAUGAUGAAGCUAAGGUGAGAAAAAGAAUGAAAAUGAAGUUUUGAAAUGUCUCCAUCCAUAAUCCCAACUACAUAUUGUUAUUUUCAACUCUUUUUAGUCUUGCAUGCAUGAAUCAUCAUCUCACCUACCUUGGUUACUGCUUUCUUAUUUAUUAGGUCGGUCACCACAUUUAUUUUUGAUCUUGCCGGAUUAAUUCAUCAUUAAUAAGUUAGCUAAACAGUCCUUAUGGAAUAUAGUUAGUGCUCAUAUAUAUAAUGGACGAGACUUAGGAAAAAAAAAAGAAAAAAAACUUACAAAUUACUACUACUCACAUCCCUUGUUUAUGACAUGAAAUUCAUGGGAGCUAGCUUUGAUUAGAGUCUAGAAGGUAUUGAAGUCUUUUCUUUUUUUCUCUUUUUUUUGUUGAAAGCUGUUCAAUUUUUGGACUUAAUUUUAUAAGAAAUGUAUCCAUCGUGAUUUUAUUAGGCAGCCACCUGUUUCUGUCUGUUCCAAUGUCUUAAAAAGGGUUAAUUACGCGAAAUAUCAUGAACUUUGGACCGAUUUCCAAGUUUGCCAUGAACUUUUUUUUUUAUCAAAUUUUCCCAGAACUUAACCAAUUGAUCAAUUUUGCCAUGGUUUUUACCUCCGGUGAUGCUCCGGUCUGAGUUGGCGCCUACGUGGCAUUAAUUGAGACAACGUCGUUUUAUAAGAGGGUAUUGAAAGACGUCGUUUUGAGCAGAAUUCACGUCAAACGACGUCGCUUUAAUCCGUAGGGUUAAAUAAGAUUAACCCUAACAUGAUUUCACCCCAAUUUUAUUACAUUCACCAUUCGCAAAGCUUGACUACACCUGUUUGGGGAGAAAUUGACUUGGGGAAGACGACUUUGCAAUAACGCGCCGAGAAGAAGACCCAUUCCAGGAGAUAUUGAAGACGAGAUUUGACGAUAUUUUUGCAGAAUGGGGGAUAGGUAUAUUCAUUUGCUUUUUGCCGCCCUUAUUUUACUCUGGUGAUGUUAGAACCCUAGCUUUUUGCCGCCCUUUAAUUUGUAUAUGUGCAUGUGUCUGAUUCUUUGAAUUUUGAGGUGGAUUGCAAUAUUUUUUUUUUCAUUUCCGUAGUGACGAAUUUGGGUUGUACAUUCACCAUGGUGGGAAGUUUGUCAGCUUAGGGGCAGGUAGAUUAUACUCUGGUGGUGAAGUUACAGGUAGAUUCGGNUAUAUAUAUAUAUAUAUAUAUAUAUAUAUAUAUAUAUAUAUAUAUAUAUAUAUAGGGUGGGGUUAAUAUAGAAACCCCCCUUAAGAUGAAAACUAGGAACCUAAUCUAAAUCAUUGAUUUUAAAAAAAUAGAGGGCUGAGAUUAAACUACAGAUGCACAAUUUAAUUACUAAUUUAAAUGUAAUUGAAAUUCAAAGGGUAGAAAUGUAAAACAGAUUUUAUAUUAUUUUCACGUUCUGCACUUCAAGUUUCACUAUCAUUUACACUUUCACCUAGGGUUUAAAAAAAGGGGGUGACUUCUGUGCAAGCAACGAUCCGGCGAUCUGAAAAAUCCGGCGUCGGAAGCGACCGAGAAAUCAACGACCGGUGGAUCUCUGUGCAAUCCGGCGGCGGAGGUGUGGGUUUUGGGAAGCUGUGAGCGCCUUACUUAAGGCAGCGGUUGUGGGAGUUUUGUCCAAAUCAGAAAACGAAUCUCAUAUCCUGCGGCGGCGGAGGCGAUUCAGAGAUUAAUCCGGCGUUUCUAACAAGGCGGCGGCUUCCAUUGGGUGUUUCACAUCCGGCGGCGGCGGCGGCGAUUAAUCUAUUAAUCAGGAUUUUCACAGAAGGUGGCGGCGUUUCAUUUUGGGCGUUUCACAUCCAGCGGCGGCAUUCCAAUCGAUCUAACCGGUGUUCGGGUAUUUCAAGUUUCCGACAUUGCUGCACACUUCACACUUUUAAUUGCAUUGUUGUAUGUUGAUAAUAGAUGAUACAUCUCGAAAGGAAGAAUUUGUUGUAGUAGAUGCAUUUGCACACUUCACAAUUAUCAAUGCAUAGUUUUAGUUAUUCCCAAAUCCCCUGAAUUUAUAUGUAUUGAAUAUAUAGCCGUUUGGUAUUGUU